UACGAAGGGGGCUAGCGUUGCUCGGAAUCACUGGGCGUAAAGCGCACGUAGGCGGCUUUUUAAGUCAGGGGUGAAAUCCUGGAGCUCAACUCCAGAACUGCCUUUGAUACUGGGAAGCUUGAGUCCGGAAGAGGUGAGUGGAACUGCGAGUGUAGAGGUGAAAUUCGUAGAUAUUCGCAAGAACACCAGUGGCGAAGGCGGCUCACUGGCCCGGUACUGACGCUGAGGCACGAAAGCGUGGGGAGCAAACAGG
rnacentral:rRNA from 1 species